CACCGGCAGCCCUAGUGGUGGCCGCUUUUAUUGGGCCUAAAGCGUCCGUAGCCGGACAGGCAAGUCUUUGGGUAAAUCCUACGUCUUAAGCGUGGGAAUUCUAAAGAUACUACCUGUCUUGAGGCCGGGAGAGGCUGGAGGUACUCCUGGGGUAGGGGUAAAAUCCUAUAAUCCUGGGGGGACCACCGAUGGCGAAGGCAUCCAGCUGGAACGGGCCUGACGGUGAGGGACGAAACCCAGGGGAGCGAGCCGGAUUAGAUACCCGGGUAGUCCUGGGCGUAAAUGAUGUGGGCUUGGUGUGAGCGCAUCGACGAGGUGCGCUUGUGCCGUAGGGAAGCCGUUAAGCCCACCGCCUGGGGAGUACGGUCGCAAGGCUGAA
rnacentral:rRNA from 1 species